UACGAAGGGGGCUAGCGUUAUCCGGAAUUAUUGGGCGUAAAGAGCUCGUAGGCGGUUUGUCGCGUCUGCCGUGAAAGUCCGGGGCUCAACUCCGGAUCUGCGGUGGGUACGGGCAGACUAGAGUGAUGUAGGGGAGACUGGAAUUCCUGGUGUAGCGGUGAAAUGCGCAGAUAUCAGGAGGAACACCGAUGGCGAAGGCAGGUCUCUGGGCAUUAACUGACGCUGAGGAGCGAAAGCAUGGGGAGCGAACGGG
rnacentral:rRNA from 1 species